rnacentral:lncRNA from 1 species
ACGCCAUCUUGCCACUAAACCUGAUUUACCAACAUAACCUGUUUCUGGCCAUGCUGUGAAUCUGCAUUCUUUACUGUGUCCUUGGGAUACUAGGUCUCUGAUCAAGUGCCACAUCUUUAGAGAAGCUUUUCCAAACAACCGAUUAUGAAGUACACAUUAACAAUGAAGCCUCUUUUCAAGUAAAGAAGUGAGUAGCCUUCAAGCUCCAGAUAAUCCUCAGUGAGGUAUACUGUCCGCUCAAUAUCCAAGAGUCACCCUUCUACAAGGGACCUCUAGACUGCCCAUAAGUGAGACAUGACAGAGGUAAAGUCAUGCUCCUGUCUCCCUUGGACCUGGCUGGAAACUGCAUUCAUCAACCCAUGGAACCACCCCCCUGCCAUGAAAGCUAGCAAGAGGCCAAGACCCACAGAACAACCACCAUCAUCCCUCUGUCAGCAGGAAGCGGUUACAAAAGACUAACCUUUGCCCAUUUUCCCCAAAGAAUUGGGGUCUUGGAAUCUUGAGGGAGGAAAUGUUACAGUAGGUAGCUAGUCAGACAUGAGCAGAGCAGAAGAGGGCUUACACACACACACACACACACACACACACACACCCCACACACAAAGAAUCCUGGGCAACCAUCAGGCGAUUGUAAGGUGGUUGUUAACUGUGUCUCUAAAAUAACGAUUGGUCACAACCAGUGCAAUGGAAAGGCAGUCUCUCAAUAAACAGAAACACCUGGAGCUGAUGAUCAGCAGCUUCCUGAUCAGGUCUCAGAAGUUUGGCAAGCUGGCCUACACAUGCGCACUAAGAGGCAAAAUGGCACAGUUUAACUGGUAUAUGACUUCCAAUGGACAUUCAGCAUGUAAGGGAAAAAUGCCUCAAGUAAGCAUGCAUACAACUCCACUAAACACACUGUGCAUGCUCCCCUCUCAAGUGCUGGCAGGCCAGUGCACAUGGGGACAGCCCACCCCAAAGAAAGUCUCAAGGGUGUAGGGAUGCAAGACCCCGGGAAUAUGCCAAUGUAUUAAACCCUAAGUCAAAAGGUCAAAUCAUGCACUUGUCUUUCAAGUCACCCACUUGACCCUCUUCCAAGUGUACUUUCCUUCCUUUUGUUACUACUCUAAAGCUUUUUAAUAAAUUUUCACUUUUUGAAUUCUUGUCUGCAACUUAGACUAACCUUGCUUGUUUCUCUGAACCAACCAGUGAUCUCUGGCUCGACUCAGAAGCAACAAAUAGAUGGGUAAUGUAAAAAUAUGGAUUAAUAUUCUAAUUCUGGGGGUACAAAUCUAAAAUUUGCUUCAGUCUCUCCUUCUACCUAUGCCCCUCAGUUAAAUUCUUUCUUCUGAGGAGGCUAGAAUUGAGGUUGCUGCAGACCUGUACCGAUUCACCACCAGUAGCAGGUACUAGAAAGAUUAAGGAGAGGAACAUUCUGGUUAUGAAGGUCCAAUUCUCUUACCAUAUGUUCCAAGUUGUUUUUUUGUUUUGUUUUGUUUUAAUUCUCUGUAGUCCUGGGAACUGCCUCACUCUCAUAUUUGAGUUCUGGGAUAUUGUUGGUGAUAGUCUCUGCAGUGUAUAUUGGUUUUUAUAUUUUGUGGAGGGGGAGUGAAGCCAGUUUGCUUCUAUGCUGCCAUUUUGAAACCCUGCCACAAGUCAUUUAUUCCUGUUGUUGGAAAAUAUUCCAUUGAUUAGGUGUAAUACCAUUUGUUUAUCCAUUCACCUAUUGGGAAAGAUCUUAUUUGCUUCAAGUUUUGGCAAUUGUAAAUAAAACUGCUAUAAAUCUGUGCAGGUUUUUGUGCAGAUAGAAGUUUUCAUCUCAUUUGUGUAAAUGCCAUAGAGUGCAGUUGCUGGAUUGUAUGGUUAGUAAAUUAGUCUAUUUUUAUGCUGCUGAUAAAGACAUACAAGAGACUGGCUAACUUAUAAAGAAGCAGAGGUUUAAUGGACUCACAGUUCCGUGUGGCUGGGGAGGCCUCACAACCAUGGUGGAAAGGGAAAGACAUGUCUUAUAUGGCUGCGGGCAAAAGAGAAUGAGAGCCAAUGAAAGGGGUUUCCCCCUAUAAAACCAUCAGAUCUCAUAAGACUUAUUCACUACCUCGAGAACAGUAUGGGGGAAACUACCCCCAUCAUUCAAUUAUCUCCCACUGGGCCCCUCCACAACAUGUGGAAAUUAUGAGAGCUACAAUUCAAGAUGAGAUUUGGUGGGGACACAGCCAAUCAUAUUAGUAAGAAUAUGCUUACUUCUGUAAAAAGCUGCCAAACUCUCUUCUAAAUUGGCUGUAACUGUUUGCAUUUUCAUUAGUAAUGAAUGAGAGUUUCUGUUGUUCCACAUCCUCUCCAGCAUUUGGUGUAAGCAUUUAGAAUUUUAGACAUUCUACUAGGUGUAUCAUGGUAUCUCCUCGUUGUUUUAAUUUAUAAUUUCCUGAUGACAAAUGAUGUUGAGCAUAUUUUAUAUCAUAUAUAUGUACACACACACACAUUCUUUGGUCAGAUGUCUGUUCAGGUUUUCAGCCCAUAUUUUAAUUGGGUUGUUGCUUUGUUCAGUUUAAAGAGUUAUUCAUACAUUUUAGAGCUCAGUCCUUUAUCAGAUAUGUAUUUUGCAAAGAUUUUCUUCCAAUCUGUGGCUUGUAUUUUCAUUCUCCCAACAGUGUCUUUCACAGAGCAGAAGUUUUUAUUUUUAAUAAAGUACACCUAAUCAAUAUUUUCUUUCAUGUAUUGUGCUUCUGGUGUUGCAUCUAGAAAGUCAUCACCAAACCUAAGGUCACCUAGACUUUCUCCCAUAGUAUCUUCUAUUAGUUUUAUAGUUUUUAGCUUUAAAUUUAGGUUUAUGAUUCAUUUUAAAUUAAUUAUUUUUGAAAUGUUUAAGAUCUGUGUAUAGAAUCUUUUUUGCAUAUGAAUAUCCAGUUGUUCCAGCACCAUUUGUUGAGGAUUGCUUUUUCUUCCUGGAAUUAUCAUUGCUCCUUUGUCACAGAGCAGUUGACUGUGUGGAUCUACACACAAAUUUAAGCCAACAGCUGUUGCAGUUCUAUGUUUAUAAUAAUGUUUAAAUUUUGAAUCCAACUAUUAAUAUGAAUUUUAAGCCACUUCUCUGUCUCUUUUGAUUUGAAUGUGGAGGGUGUCAUUUACUUCAGAAGGUAUGUAAAAGAGAUGUGCAACUUAGAAAAAUCAAAAUAAAUUUUAGCAUAAAUAUUCAACACAGAAUGGAAACAGAAUUUUACUCAUGUAGCUAAAUAUGGAGCCCCUAUCUGACUAUAUUAGAAUAUAUAAUUGUUAACAUUAUUUGCCAAGUCAAAAAUAAAGACAUUUGGGAAAUUUUUCCUUUAAGUGCAUUAUUUGUAUUAAAAUAAAGUGAUUGAUAUGCAUGGUGUGAAAUUUAUGUUAAUUAGUAUGAGGCUAAUGAUUGAAAUUUUAAUACUAUUAAAUGUUUUUUCAGAAUAUAAACAUUUAACAAAUCAAUAAAGCAUAAUUAUUGCAGUAAGAGAGUUCACUUCUAGAUCUGACCAUUAUCACCUUUAUAACCCCAUCUUUUGAGUAUAAACAAGAGCUAAUAAAAAUGAAAAUAGAAUGAUAAGAGAGGGAACAAUUUGACUGAGAUCUUCUGACUUUAUACUAGAUCAUACUGAAUGGGAGAUAAGCAAUUUUUCUUAAGUUCUUUUAUAAUCAUUUUUAAAAAUAUUUUAUUUUCAAUAAGAUCUUGUUCUCAUGAACUUAUAAUUCAUAGUUUCAUUAUUAUGAUUGCAAAAUGUUGCAACCAAAACUUGAUGAGACAUUUUGGAAGCCACCCUCAUCCCCUUUUUCUGGUUAGAGCAUAACAAGAGACGGUAGGUUGACAUUUAUUAGAAACUAUGUGCAUAGUUCCAUUCUUUCCACCUUUUCUCCUUUCUUUGUAAUUCUUAAAGCUUACCUGUGAAAUUUUAUUGUUAGUGAACUUAGAAAUGCCAUCAUGUCUUUCUGGUUUAAUGUCAAAAAAUACACUGAAUGCUAGAGCAAAGCUUGUCAGACUAUUUGCCACCCACAAGGAAGGGGAGUAAAACUUUUCAUCAAGGGUUUCAGGGUAACUUCACUUGUUCAUUGUAGUUUACCCCAUCCCCUUUCUGUAGUUGGCUCUGUCACGUGUCUCUGUUUCAUGUCAUAGUAUACAUUUAUUCUCUGUAAUUUACAGAGCCAAAAUAUAUUAGUAUUAUUGGGAAGAAAACCAGGCUUCACUACAGAUGAGGUGAGGCAUUAGGUAAAUGUUCUGUGCCUAUUUCCUUAUAUUCUAUGCCUAUUUCCUUAUGUUCUAAUAACUGUGUAAUAAUAAUGGACUGGCCCAUGAGAAAAUAGCUAACGUGUUUCUACUGCAUGCAACUCUGCACUCCUGACCUCAGGGAAAUGUGAGAAACUCAUUUCAAGGGGUUAAGAUUGCAGGAAAGGUGAAAGCAAAAACACAAAUGGAGUAAACUCAGGCUCCAGUUUCACAUACAUUGAGAUCUGCUGGAUAAUUGGAUUUAAACCAUUUUGUCGAAGAAUGCUAAUUUAUAUAUAUAUAUAAUAUAAUAUAUAUUUAUAUAUGUGAAUAUGGAUAUAUAAGGAUUUCAUAAUUUUCAUAAUUUUAGAAGAUCCUCUGUUCAUUUUUCUCUGAGUAGUAACAUGGAGGAAAGUGCUUGACAUUAAUAUGAAAAGGUCUUAACCCUAUAAUGAAAAAAUAUUUUUGUGUAUAGAAGGCCACUUAAGGUUGCUGCCUCUAGAGUGAAAAUACUGUAGAUAAACUUUGCCUAUUGGAAUUUAUCCUUGGAGAUUUUCAAUAUGGAUAUUUCCCAUCCCUGUGUGCAACAUCCUCUUUAUGGGAGAAUAGCUUUGUACUUUCUGCAGUUUGUUAGCUUCAGCAGUGGUCAUGAUGUAACUAGACACCUGUGCAAUUACAUUGCUUUUCCAAACUUUUUUAAACCUAUUCAUAUAGCAUAGGUGAGAAGAAAAAUACUAUUAAAGAUAGUUUAACAUGUUCUCAUGUACCUCAUCUAUAUUAUACAUUAGCUUUUGUUUUUGAACUGGAAGGCACGUUAGAAAUUGUUAAUGCCCUAGUUACAUUGAAUUACCAUAGUAAGCAUUGACUGUUGUUUUGGAUUCUAGAAACUAGGACCAGUUUUAGUGCUUUACUCUUUGAGGUUAGUCACUCAUUUAAUCUAACCAGUAGUCACUCUCAACCAAAGCUGUGGUUUCUCCAGAGUGGAACUGUGACUUAACAGUCAGCUCUCAGUUUGCCCAGUAAUAUACAUCACCAAAGCCAAAUAAGCCAUGUUGUUAUUUUUUUAACUUUUAUUUUAGGUUCAGGAGUACAUGUGUAGGUUUGUUAUAUGGGUAAAUGGCAUGCCAUGGAAGUAUGGUGUACAAAUUAUUUCAUCACUAAGGUAAUAAGCAUAGCACCCACAGAUAAAUAGUUUUUUGAUCCUCACCCUCCUCCCGCUCUCCACACUCAAGUAGGCUCUGGGGUCUGUUGUUCCCUUCUUCAUGUUCAUGUGUACUCAAAGUUUAGCUCCCACUUAUAGGUGAGAACAAGUGGCAUUUGGUUUUUUCUUCCUGCAUUAGUUCACUUAGGAUAAUGGCCUCUAGCUCCAUUCAUGGUCCUGCAAAGGACAUGAUCUUGUUGUUGUUGUUGUUGUUUUAAUGGCUACAUAGUAUUUCAUGGUGUAUAUAUACUAUAUUUUCUUAUCCAAUCUACUAUUAAUGUUCAUUUAAAUUGAUUCCAUGUCAUUGCUAUUGUUAAUACUGCUGCAAUGAACAUACAUGUGCAUAUGUUUUUAUGGUAGAAAAACUUAUAUUCCUUUAAGUAUGUACCCAAUCAUGGGAUUGCAGGGUUGAAUGGUACUUUCAUUUUAACUACUUUCCAUAAUGGCUGAACUAACUUACAUUCCAACCAGGAGUGUAUAAGACUUCAUUUAUCUCUGCAACCUUACCUUACCGGCAUCUGUUAUUUUUAUUUAUUUAUUUAUUUUUUUGAGACGGAGUCUUGCUCUGUCUCCCAGGCUGGAUUGCAGUGGCACUAUCUUGGCUCACUGCAACCUCCACUCCCAGGUUCAAGCAAUUCUCCUGCCUCAGCCUCCCAAGUAGCUGUGAUUACAGGUGCCUGCCACCAUGCCUGGCUAAUUUUUUGUAUUUUUAGUAGAGAUGGGGUUUCACUAUGUUGGCCAGGGUGGUCUCAAACUCCUGACCUUGUGAUCCACCUGCCUUGGCCUCCCAAAGUGCAGGGAUUACAGGCAAGAGCCACCACACUUGGCCAGCAUCUAUUAUUUAUAGACACUUUAAUAAUAGCCAUUCUGACUGCUGUGAGAUGGUAUCUCACUAUGGUUUUGAUUUGCAUUUCUCUAAUGAUUAGUGAUGUUGGAAUUUUUUCAUAUGCUUGUUGGCCAUGUGUAUGUCUUCUUUUGGGAAUUUUCUGUUCAUGUUAUUUGCCCACUUUUUAAUGGCAUUGUUUGGUUUUUGCUUGUUAAUUUAUUUAAGUUUCUUAUAGAUUCUGGAUAUUAGACCUUUAUGGGAUGCAUAGUCUGCAAUAUUAUCUCCUAUACUUCAGAUUGUCUAGUUAAUCUGUUGAUAGUUUCUGUUGCUGUGCAGAAGCUCUUUAGUUUAAUUAGAUCCUAUUUCUGAAUUUUUGUUUCUGUUGCAAUCACUUUUGGCAUUUUUCAACAUGAAAUCUUUGCCAGAAUGCCUAUGUUCAGAAUGGCAUUUCCUAGGUUAUCUUUCAUGAUUUUCAUAGUUAGAGUUUUUACAUUUAAGUCUUUAAUCCAUCUUGAGUUGAUUUUUAUAUAUGAUGUAGGGAAAGGGUCUAGUUUCAAUCUUAUGCAUAUGGCUAGCCAGUAAUGCCAGCGCCAUUUAUUUAGUAUGCAGUCCUUUGCCUAUUGAUUGUUUUUCUCAGCUUUGUUGAAGAUCAGAUGGUUGUAAUUGUGCAAGUAUAUUCCUAGGCUCUUUACUGUGUUCCACCGGUCUAUGUGUCUGUUUUUGUACCAGAACCAUGCUGUUUUGGUUACUGUAGCUUUGCAGUAUAGCUUGAAGUCAGAUAGUGUGAUGUCUUUGGCUUUGUUCUUUUUGCUUAGGAUUGCUUUGACUAUUCUUGCUUUUUUUUUUUUUUUGAGGGGGAUUUCCAUAUAAAUGUUAAAUUUUUUUUCUAAUUCUGUGAAGAAUGACAUUGGUGGUUUGAUAGAGAAUUGAAUCUGUAAAUUGCCAUGUGUAGUAUAGCCAUUUUAACAUUGAGUCUUCCUAUCCACGAGCAUGGAAUGUUCUUCCAUUUGUUUGUGUCAUCUCUGAUUUCUUUGAGCAACUUUUUAUCAUUCUCAUUGUAGAGAUCUUUACCUUCCUAGUUAGCUGUACGCCUAGGUAUUUCUGUUUUGUUCCUGUUGUGAAUGAAAUCACCUUCUUGAAUUGGCUCUCAGCUUAGACAUUGUUGAUAUAUAGAAAAGCUACUAAUUUUUGUACAUUGAUUUUGUAUCCUGAUACUUUGCUGAAGUUGUUUACCAGAUCCAGGAGCUUUUGAGUAUAGACUCUGGGAUUUUCUACAUAAAAAUCAUAUUGUCUGCAAACAGAGAUAGUUUGUCUUUCCCUCUUUUUAUUUGGAUGCCUUUAAUUUUUUUCUCUUGCCUGAUGACUCUGGCUAGCACUUCCAGCACUAUGUUGAAUGGCAGUGGUGAGAGAGGGAAUCUUUGUCUUGUUCUGGUCCUCAAAAGUAAUGCUUCUGGCUUUUGCCAAUUUAUUAUGACAUUGGCUGUGGGUUUUUCAUAGAUGGUUCUUAUUAUGUUCAGGUUUGUUCCUUUAACACCUAGUUUCUUGAGGGAUUUUUAACAUGAAGAAAUAUUAAAUCUUAUUGAAAGCCUUUCCUGCAUCUAUUGAGAUGAUCAUGUGGUUCUUGUUUUUAGUUUUGUUUAUGUGAUGAAUCACAUUUAUUGGUUUGUGUAUAUUGAACCAACCUUGCAUCCCAGGGAUAAAGCCUACUUGGUGGUAGAUUAGUUUUUUGAUAUGCUGCUGAAUUUGGUUUAAUAGUAUUUUUUUGAGUAUUUUUGCAUCUAUGUUUAUCAAGGAUAUUUGUCUGAAGUUUGCUUUUUGUGUUGUGUUUCUGGCAGGUUUUGGUAUCAGAAUGACACUAGUCUCAUAGAGUGAGUUAGGUAGGAGUCCCUCCUCAACAAUUUUUUGGAAUAGUUUCAGUAGAAAUGGUACUAGCUCUUCUUUACAUAUCUGGUAGAAUUCAGCUGUGAAUCUGUAUUGUCCUGGGUUUUUUUCUGUUUGUUAGGGUUUUAUUAUUGAUUAAAUUUCAAACUCAUUGUUGGUCUGUUCAGGGAUUCAAUUUGUUCCUGGUUCAAUCUUUGGAAGUUGUAUGUUUCCAGGGAUUUAUCCAAUUUUUUUCUGGGUUUUCUAGCUUGUGUGCAUAGAGGUGUUCAUGCUAGUCUCUGAGGGUUUUUUGUAUUUCUGUGGAGUUGGUGAUAAUGACUUCUUUGACAUUUCUCAUAGUGUUUAUUUGCAUCUUCUUUUUUUUUCUUUAUAAGUCUAGUUAGUGGUCUAUGAGUCUAAUUUAUUCUUUCAAAUAACAAAGUCCUUGAUAUGGUUUGGCUCUGUGUACUCACCCAAAUCUCACCUUGAAUUGUAAUAAUCCCCAUGUGUUGUGAGAAGGAACUGGUGGGAGGUAACUGAAUUAUGGGGGCAGUUUCCCCCAUACUGUUCUCGUAUGUGAGUGAGUCCUCAUGAGAUCUGACGGUUUUAUAAGCAUCUUGCCUUUCCCCUGCUAGCAUUCAUUGUUUCUCCUGCCACCCUUUAAAGAGGUACCUUCCACCAUGAUUGUAAGUUUCAUGAGGGCUCCCAAGCCAUGUGGAACUGUGAGUCAAUUGAACUUCUUUUCUUUAUAAAUUAUCCAGUCUUGGGUAUUUAUUUAUAACAGCAUGAGAACAAACUAAUACAGUCCUUAAUUUAUUGAUCUUUUGUAUAUUUUUCUUUUCAUCUCAUCUUUCACUUCAGCUAUGAUUUGGAUUAUUUCUUUCUUUCUUUUUUGUUUUUGCUAGUUUUUGGGUUAAUUUAUUCUUGUUUCUCUAGUCCCUCUAGAUGCUAAGUUGUUGAUUUGAAAUCUCUUUAAGUUUUUGAUGUGGGCCUUUAGCACUACAAAUUUCCCUCUUAACAAUUGUUUAAAUGUGUCUUAGAGAUUUUCCUAUGUUGUAUCUUUGUUCUCAUUAAUUCCAAAGAAUUUCUUGAUUUUUCCCUUAAUCUCAUUGUUUACCUAAAAGUCAUUCCAAGACAGCUUGUUUAAUUUUAAUAUAGUUUUAUGGCUUUAUGUUAUUUUCUCAGUAUUUUUUUGUAUUUUUAUUGCACUGUUGUCUGAGAGUGUGGUUGGUAUGAUUGCAGUUUUUUAUUUGCUAAGAAUUGUUUUAUGGCCAACCAUGAUGUUGAUUUUAGAGUAUGUAUCACUUGUAGAUGAGAAGAAUGCAUAUUAUGUUGUCGUUGGGUGGAGUGUUCUGUAGAUGGUAUUAGGUCUAUUUGAUCAAGUGUUAAGUUCAGAUCCUGAAUGUUUUUGUUAGAUUUCUGCCUGAAUGAUUUGCCCAAUACUGUCAGUGGGGUGCUGAGGUCUCACAGCAUUAUUGUGUGGUUAUCUGGGUCUCUUUGGAUCUAGGUCUUUGGAUCUCGGUCUCUAAGAACUUGUUUCAUGAAUAUGGGUGCUGCUUUGUUGAGGGCAUAUAUAUUUAAGGUAGUUAGGUCUUGUGGAGUUGAACACUUUACCAUUAUUUAAUGUCCUUCUUUGUCUUUUUUUGAUUGUUGUUUUUUUAAAGUCUGUUUUUCUUUUCUGAAAUUAGAAUAACAACCCCUGCUUUUUUUCUGUUUUCCCUUUGCUUAGUAGAUUUUUCUCUAUCCCUUUACUUUGAGCCUAUUGCUGGCAAUGCAUGUGAUAUUGAUCUCCUGAAAACAGCAUACAGUUGAGUAUCGUUUCUUUAACUUACUUUAACUGUGGCUUUUAAGUGGAGAGAUUAUCCCCUUUAUGUUUAUGGCUAAUAUUGAUAUGUGCAAAUUUGAUCCUGUCAUUGUGUUGUUAGCUGGUUGUCAAGUAGACUUGAUUAUGUAGUUGCUUUAUAGCGUCAAUGGUAUAUGUACUUAACUGUUUCCUUGUGGUGGCCCGUAGUGGUCUUUCAUUGUCAUGUUUAGCACCCCCUUAAGAAUCUCUUGAAAGAUAAAUCUGGUGAUAACACAUUCCCUUAGCAUUUGCAUGUGUGAAAAAGAUUUUAUUUCUCAUUUUCUUAUGAAGUUAGUUUGGCUGAAUAUGAAUUUCUUGGUUGGAAAUUCUUUUCUUUUAGGGUGUUGUAUAUAGGCCACCAAUCUCUUCUGGCUUGUAGAAUUUCUGCUGAAUUGUCCACUGUUAGCCUAAUAAGGUUUCCUUUGUAGGUGACCUACCCUUUCUCUGUAGCAGCAUUUAACAUUUUUUCUUUCAUUUUGACCUUAGGGAAUCUGAAGAUUAUGUGUCUUUGGGAUGGUCAUCUUUUAUAAUAUUUUGCAGGGCUUCUCCACAUUUCCUGAAUUUGAAUGUUGGCCUGUCUAGCAAGGUUGGGGAAAUUUUCAUGGAUGAUAUCCUCAAAUAUGCUUUCCAGGCUGCUUGUUUUCUCUUCCUCUCUUUCAGGAUGAUAAAGAUGAUGCCAAUAAGUCAUAAAUUUAGUCUCUACAUAAUUCCAUAUCUCUCAGAGUGUUCAUGUAAUCUGCUUUUUCUUUUUUCUUUGUUUUUGUCUGAUUGAGUAAUUUCCUGUCUUCAAGCACUUAGAUUUUUUCCUCAGCUUUGUUUAUUCUACUGUUAUACAUGUGAUUGUAUUAAAAAUUCUUGAACUGAGAUUUUCAUCUCUAUCAGAUUAGUUUGGUUGGUUCUUUCUUAAAAUGAUCCUUAUGUCUUUCAGUUCCUGUAUUAUUUUCUUGUGUUCUUUAGAAUCCCUGAAUUGGGUUUCAACUUUCUCUGAAUCUCAAUGAUCUUUAUUCCUAUCUAUUCUGAAUUUUAUUUCUGUCAUUUCACCCAUUUCAGCCUGAUUAAAAACAAUUGCUGGGGAGCUAAUGUAGUUCCUUGGAGAUAAUAAUACACUCUGGUCUUUGAGUUGCCAGAGUUCUUGUAUUGAUUUUUUAUCAUAUGUGUGGGCUGAUGUUCCUUCGGUCUUUGAAGUUGUCGUCCUUUGGAUGGGUGUUUUUUGUUUGUUUGUUUUUUCUGGUUUGUUUUGUUUGCUUUUUUUUCUUUGAUGGACUUGGGGGUUUGAUUGUGGUAUACCAUGGGUUAAGUCAACUGGCUUAAUUUCUGGAAGAUUUUGGGAGGCCAAGUCUCAGCUCAGCACUCCUGGGUUGUGUGCUCUAACUCUGCAGACUGGUAUUGAGCCCCCAGCUUUGUUUUCUGAUCCCUUGAGGUUAGAAACCUGCUGUACUGGAGGUGCUAAGUUGUUCUCAGUCUGCUGGCCACAAAACUCCAAUGCAUGGUGCUGUGCAAAGUGAUUUUUCAGGGUGGUGGCUGUGGGAUUUAUGCUCACUCACACAUGCCAGUAGCCACAGCAGUGCAGACAUGUCAGCUGGGGUGGGGUAUCCGCAGGAGCAGGGCUACAUGUGUUUGCUUCACUGGUGGUGGUUGUGGCAUAGGAGGGAUCCCCAUGUCAUUCUUGAUUCUGGCUUUGCAAGUUUGGAAAAAGGGUAUUUUUAAUUUUCUUUGAUUCUUCAAAUAUUGUAGCAUAUAUACAAUUAGAGUUAUCAGAGUUUUAACAUGUAAAAGAUACAUGCUGUUUAUGUUCAGAAGACAGAGAGGCUGGCAUUUAUCCUAGGACUAAAAUAAGAAAGUUGGAAGGGACCAUAGGGAUCUCCUGGCCUUGGAACUGACCUCUGAUUGUUCUGAGCUCAUACUGUCUUUGAAACCUAAACAUAUUCUUCUUCUGAACAUUUUAAGAGUUAGAGAGUUUUGAUUUUUGUCUACAAAAUAAACAUUGGGUUAGUCAUACUUGGAAAUUAUAGCUCAAACUUUAGGACUUAGACCAGGUUUAGUGGAAUUUGCAUUAUUGCAUAAUUGGCCAAAAUAUUUUGCUUGGGUGAAUACAUGUCUGAAUGAAUAAUAAUGGCAUCAAUGGAAAUGUGGAAUCAGUUAACAUUUUUUUUUUUUUUUUUUUUUUUUGCUUUUCAGGUAACUUUUCAGACAUGAAUUGGAAUAAGAUAAGGCCAACUUGCUCAACUACAUUCCUUACUAAAACAUAAUAACUAAAAGCUACAGUGUGCAUUUCAUGUUUCACAUGUUCUGUUGCAGUGCCAAGACUAGGUUUAAGCAAUUCAGCUGCACAGUUACCAACCACUUCUUCUUGGAAGAUUUACCUACAAUCUAACUGAUAUACUUAACAAAAUUAUAUUUUUAAUAUUGAUUGUACAAUUUUUUACUCCUUAAUUGUAUCUGACAGCUUCUUAUACUUUAAACUUGAUCAACAGUAAAUUGUGAAGAGAGUAACUAUACACCACAUGGCUUGACAAUAUCCAAACAUCAUUCUUGUUCUACAAAAGUUACAAAUGGUGAGUUGCAAACCAAUGUCUUAAUAACAUUUUAUUUUAAAACAUGUGUGUUUACCUUCAUGUGUUUCAAGAAAGUAGCAUGAUCUUGAAGAAUGAAUAAUGAUUUUGGAGCAGGUGCACUAGAGUUUGUCCUGUGCCUACUAGCUCUGUAACUUAGACAAUAUGCUUAAUCUCUCUGAAUAUCAUUUUCCUUAUUAUGAAAAGGUAUAUUUAAGAAUAUCAACCUUUAAGAAAUGCUGUUAAGUUUUAAUUAAAUUGAUAUAAAAGAGGCAGUAUAGAACAUGGUGAAACUAGCCCUUCAGUAGAUGUUACUUUUCUCUCACAUAUUUUUUAUUUACUAGAAACAUAAACAUUUCAAGUAUAUUCUAAGUCAUUGACUUUAAAAUUGACUGUGUAAUGCCAACAAGCCUUCAAAGUAUGCCUAAAACUUAUUUCUCUAACCCCUAUUUCUAACAAAGCCUGCAAAAUUACAAUAUAGUAUACUUUAAAUCCGUGAUCAACUCUAUUUGAGCAUGAUUAAUGUCACAUAUUAUUCAAUUUCCUGAAAAUAUGACACCCUGUAUAAUUUAUACUAUAACCUUCCCUACAUAAGGCUCUCAAUUUCAUAAUAGGGACUAGCAUAGAUGAGAAUAUUUGUUUUCUGAAGCAAACAAAGCUUGCUUUUCUAUGUGAGCUAAAGUUUCUCCUUUCUGAUUGAGAACAGGGAACACAUGUUAUAGUUACCAGUAGAACCGGUAUAGUUCGACAGAUUUUACAUAUGGCUAAAAUUACUUAUGCUAAAUAGCUGAAAUAAAUACAAAAUGCCCCAGGAAGGGAAUGUGAAGAUUAAAUACCAUCAAGGAUUAGAAAGAUCACUACAAAUCUUAGCCUUAGUUAGGUAGACGCAAAGUAGGGUUCCUAGAGGGCAUAGAGUACUAACUGAAAUGAAUAACAUCAUGCCAUUCUGUAACCUGAAGAGAACUAAAAAUCAAACCCCAAUAAAAUUCUAUGUGGGUAAGUCUCCCUAUUGUCUCUAGGGCCAAAUAAUUCAAAGAUAAUUAUGUUGUACCUGUGCCAAUAAUAAGGAGAGCAAAGAGUUAAGACUUGGGACCCUAGAGAAGUAAAUCACUUAGCAGAAUGUCAAAUUAGGAAGUUAUAGGGUAGUGAUGCUAUGGAGAGACAGUUGUAACAUACCACAAUGAAAUGGAGCAGCCAAAAGCAUUUUAACAGACUUUUCCAACUUUCACAUAUAUUAUCACAUUGAAUGUUCACUAUAAUUCUGCAAAGAUGGCAUAGAAGCUAGAAAGAUUUAAUGACUUCUCCAAGGUCCUACAUCUAGGAUCUCUGACUACAUAACCCAUACUCUUUUCACAAGUAUUACAUCUCUUCUGAUGAAUAAACAUGAAGUUCUGGGGUUAAUUAUUUAAGGUGAAAGGAGUCAAGAUGCUUAGAGAGCAGACUUAUAGAGUGAGGAAAUUAUAGAUACAGGCCAAUGCUGUGUGUCCCAAACAAAGCAGACAAAAUUUCAGGGAAAUUAUUUAACUAGAGUUGAGAACAUGACUAGUCUGAGAAAAAGUAGUUGGGCAGAAUUGGUUAGCUGUCACUAAUAUGCAUUCUCCCCUUGUUUAUUUAAUAAUAGAACUUUCACCUUUUAGCUGAGCAUAAGACUGAAAACUGCAUUUCCUAGUAUCCCCUCUAGUCUGGUAUAGCAUGACUAAGUUCUAACAAUGGGUGUUGAGCAAAGGUAAUGUGUGAGACUUCUCAGUUAUGCCACUAAAAAGAGGAUCAAGCCCUUUCUUUCCUUCCUCCUCACCUAGCUAUCUAAUAUGUUAACAUGAUGGCAGUAGCUGGAGCAGACAUAUAAGAUAUGAGCACUAUAUAGCACUUUAAUGUUGACAAUGGCAGAUUAAGAAGAUAGAAGGAACCUAGGUCUCUGAACACCAUGUAGUCAACAUUGACUCAGGGCUACUUUCUUUAGACUGUUAUUUGAGAAAUACAUUUUUAUAUUUUUUAAACCACUGUUACUUUGGUCCUUAUUGCAGAAGAAAAAUCCAUAUCCUCAUUUUAGAAGUUUUGACCUGAUAUUAAGAGAAAUGUAGUCACAGAGGGAAAAUAAUUUACAUUUUUUCCGGGAUCUAGGGAAUAAAUAUGAGUAUGUGUCACAUUGGAAUGAAGACUAAAGUAGCAGAAUGACAUAAAGGAAGGUUAGAAAUAAAAAGAGGGGAAUAUAAAAGCAGUAGCUGAUCUAAUGUGGAAACAGAAUCGAGAGCAACAGAAAACUAGAGGCAGCAAGAGACCUGUGUCUCAAAGGCUGCCCUCAACAUAUUUGGUAUUUAAUCACAUGGUAUAACCAGUAACUAUAAGUGAGUUUGUUUCCUUAACAGAAUAUUCCUGUGCAGUUUAGUUAAUUAACUUCCAAGGAUAAUAAGAAAGUUUCAAUUCAAGUAUCCAAUUCCAUUGAGAAAUAAUGGUUGCACAGGUUUUAUGUUAAGAAUAAUUCUGAGGCCACACCUGGGCGUAGAAGUGGAGAGUGGUAGAAAAUAUGUUACGUAUUUGGCAUCUUUCAGUUAUAGUCCAUACGGACAACAGCAUCGUGAUGGAGAAGGGGAAUGAAACUAGGAAAUAACAUUUUUGAAGUUAUCAUUAGAUAAGUUAUCCUGAGAGUUAUGGUGAAUAUGAUUUCUAGAAUGGUUCUACUGCUGAAUAGAGUCAGAAAGCAAUAGAAGAACAUAAAUGAAUGAGAUUCAAAAUGUAUCUAUAGAGCCAAAGGUAGGGGCAAUAAUCAGAGUUAGAAGAGACAGUUGGGGAUGAAGUGGUUCUGAACAUUGCAUGCCUCUCAUUAACAUAUUCUUGACCUUUAAUUUAUGCUUGAAUGUUGCAUUCUAGGCAGCUUUCCAAAAGUAUUUUUCAUGAGAGAACAAUUUCUGGAUAAAAGCUUUCGUGAAACAAUUUAACUUGCCCAACUUUUUUUUCUCUUAAGGCAAUAUUAAGAGGUUAAUAACGUUAACUGUAGUAGUGGAUAACUUCCUGAUUUUUAUAAGGUUUCCAAUACUUUUUAAGCAGUUAUUUAAGUUGCAAAUUCUUAGACUUCUGCCAAAGAAGACUUACCAUUUUCUGCUAUAAGAGGCAGCAACGGUAUUUUUUAAAAAAUGCUUUCAUAUACUUGUAUCAUUAUUUUGAACCUGGAAUAAUCUUAUUCUAAAUGAACUUAUACUUUUUUACCUAAAGAAAAACAAUGAAAAAUUGUUUUAAUUUUAAAAAGAAAAAUGAUUUAUAAAAUAUAAAGGAUGCAUGCAAAUAAGCCUUGAAGGGAAUAUCUUCCAAUAUUAAUAGUGAUUUUUUUUGAAAAUAAAACUAUGGGUGUUUUAUUCUUCUUCCAACUUUUUGUUUUUGUAAUUAUCUUGUAUGAGUAUGUAUUACUUUAAAUUGAAGAACCAUCAUAAUACUUUAAUGUAAAAGAAAAUAAAAUAGUCCUAUAAUGCUAAUAGUACUUUGAAAAGAACUCUGGGAAAAAUCAGAUAUGUAGCAAUCUAGACUACUGGAAAAUCCUAAGAAAUGGCUAAGCACUUGCUAUAUGGUUGUUCUAUUAGUCCGUUCUCAUUAUGCUAAUAAAGACAUGUCCCAGACUGGAUAAUUUAUAAAGAAAAGAGAUUUGGGGUGGGACCAAGAGGGCUGACUAGAAGCAGUGGUGAUUGGAGGCACCCAUCGAAAAGAAUCAUAAUAGCAUGUGAAUCCUGCACUGGCAAGCGAGGUAUCCAGGUUCUUUCAUCAGAACUGAUUAGGUGGCUGGUGUGACCCAUGGAGAGGAAGAAAGAGCAGUGUGGUGCAGUGGCCUACCUGAGAGCCACACAGGGCAGGGGAGCCCCCACCCCCCAGCCAAGGGAGGUGGUGAGUGAGCAUGCUAUCCAGCUGGGAAAACCAUACUUUUUCCACUGAACUGUGCAAACCACAGAUCAGAAGAUGUCACUGGGUGAACCCAUGCCACUGGGGCUUAGGGUUCCAACCCCAGAGCUGUGCAGAUUCUCAACAGCCUCUCAGCUAGGAUCUGCUUAAGCCUGCCAUAUUCCUGGGAAGAGGGGUGGUCAGCACCACAGCUAUGGCUGCCUGCUGUCUCAGCUUUUCGAGUUCCUUGGGAAAGAGGCAACAGCCAGCACUGGGACUGAUAGCUGCCUAACACGCUAAGCUCCCUGGGCGAGGGAAGGGUGGUAGCCAUCUCUGUAGCUUUUCCACUGCUGGAGCCAGGGAGGCUGGAUGGCUUGGUCCCAAAAGGUGUCCCCCACAGUCCAACACCCCAGUUGUGGUAGACUGUGGCCAAAGCACCUCUUCAGGCCUGACCCUGACCCAUCCUUCCUCACUUGAUGGGGCCUCCCUGCAGGAACUCCAACAACUUCAGCCAGGGGCUCAGGGACAGAACUCUGAUCUCCCUGGGCCUGAGCCCCUAGGGGGAGUGGUGGCUGCAAUCACUGUGGACCGGCAGACUUAGCCUUUCCUCCUAGUAGUUCUGAGGAAUCCAGGCAGCCCAGACGAGUGGGUUUCCCCUCAGUGAAGCACACCUCCUGGACCAAGGUACAGUCAAAGUGCUUCAUUCCCUGUGCCGCCCAACUGGGUGAGACCCUUUAACAGGGGUUGUCAGACACCCUAUACAGGAACGAUCUUACUGGCAUCAGGUUGGUCCCCCUUGAGGUUAGAGAUCUCAGAGGAAGGAACAAGUAACCAUCUUUGCUGUUCUCCAGGCUCCUAAGUGACAUCUCCAGGUGCAGGGGCAAACCAGAUGAAUAGGGCCUGAAGUGAACCCCCAGCAAACCACAGCAGCCCUACAACCCUGCAGAAGAGGGACCUGACCAUUGAAAGAAAACCAAACAAACAGAAAGCAACAACAGCAUCAACAAUAAAAAAAAAAGUUUCCACAAAAACCCCACCCAAGGGUCAGCAUCCUCAAAGAUCAAAAGUAGACAAACUCAUGAAAAUGAGAAAGAGUCAAAGAAAAACACUGAAAACCCAAAAGCCCAGAGUGCCUCUUCUCCAAAUGUUUGCAACACGCUCCAGCAAGGGUACAGAAAUGGACUGAGGAUGAGAUGGAGAAACUGAUGGAAGUAGGCUUCAGAAGAUGGGUAAUAACAAACUCCGCUGAGCUAAAGAAGCAUGUUCUAAUCCAAUGCAAAGAAGCUAAACACCUUGAUAAAAGGUUAGAGGAGCUGCUAACUAGAAUAACCAGUUUAGAGAGGAACAUAAAUGACCUGAUGGAGCUAAAAAACACAGCAUGAGAACUUUGUGAAGCAUACACAAGUAUCAAUAGCCGAACUGACCAAGUGGAAGAAAGGAUAUCAGAGUUUGAAGACCACAUUGCUGAAAUAAGGCAUGCAGACAAGAUUAGAGAGAAAAGAAUGAAAAGGAAUGAACAAAGAGUUCGAGAAAUGUGGGACUAUGUAAAAAGACCGAACCUAUGAUUGAUUGGAGUACCUGAAGGAGACGGGGCAAUGUAAACAAGCUGGAAAACACACUUUAGGGUAUUAUUCAGGAGAACUUCUCCAACCUAGCAAGAAAAGCCAACAUUCAAAUUCAGGAAAUACAGAAAACACCACUGAGAUACUCCACAAGAAGAUCAACCCCAAAACACGUAAUCGUCAGAUUCUCCAUGGACAAAAUGAAGGAAAAAAUGUUAAGGGCAGCCAGAGAGAAAGGCCAGGUCACCUACAAGGGGAAGCUCAUCAGACUAACAGUGGACUUCUCAGAAAUCCUAGAAGCCAGAAGAGAUUGGGGGCCUAUAUUCAACAUUCUUAAAGAAAAGAAUUUUCAACGCAGAAUUUUAUAUCCAGCCAAACUAAGCCUCAUAAGCAAAGGAGAAAUAAAAUCCUUUCCAGACAAGCAAAGGCUGAGAGAUUUUGUCACCACUAGGCCUGCCUUGCAAGAGCUCCUGAAAGAAGCACUAAAUAUGGAAAGGAAAAUCUGGUACCAGCCACUGCAAAAACACACCAAAAUAUAAAGACCAAGGACACUAUGAAGAAACUGCAUUAACUAGUGUGCAAAAUAACUAGAUAGCAUCAUGAUCACAGGACCAAAUUCACACAUAACAAUACUAAUCUUAAAUGUAAAUAGGCUAAAUGCCCCCAGUUGAAAGACACAGACUGGCAAAUUGGAUAAAGAGUCAAGACCCAUCCAUGUGCUGUAUUCAGGAGACACAUCUCACAUGCAGAUGCAUACAGGCUCAAAAUAAAGGGAUGGAGGAAAGUUUAAAAAAAAAAAAGCAGAGGUUGCAAUCCUAGUCUGACAAAAGAGACUUCACACCAACAAAGAUCAAAAAAGACAAAGAAGGACAUUACAUAAUGGUAAAGAGAUCAAUUCAUCAAGAAGAGCAAUUGGGUGCAUAUAUCUAUAUAUGCAUGCAAUACAGGAGCACCAAGAUUCAUAAAACAAGUUCUUAGAGACCUACAGAAGACUUAUCCUUCCACACAAUAAUAGUGGGAGACUUUAACACCCCACUGUCAAUAUUAGACAGAUCAACAAGACAGAAAAUUAACAAGAAUAUUCAGAACUUGAACUCAGCUCUGAAUCAAGUGGACCUAAUAGACAUCUACAGAACUCUCCACCCCAAAUCAACAGAAUAUACAUUCUUCUUAGUGCCACAUGGCACUUAUUCUAAAAUUGCCCACAUAAUUGGAAGUAAAACACUCCUCAGCAAAUCCAAAAGAACUGAAAUCAUAACAGUCUCUCAGACCACAGUGCAAACAAUUUAGAACUCAGGAUUAAGAAACUCACUCAAAAUCACACAAUUACAUGGAAAUGGAACAACCUGCUCCUGAAUGACUCCUGGGUAAAUAAUGAAAUUAAGGCAGAAGUUUCUUUGAAACCAAGGAGAACAAAGAGACAACAUACCAGAAUCUCUGGGACACAGUUAAACAGUGUUAAGAGAGAAAUUUAUGGCACUAACUGCCUGCAUCAGAAAUCUAGAAAGAUCUCAAAUUAACCCCCUAACAUCACAACUAAAGGAGCUAGAGAGGCAAGAACAAACUAAUCCAAAAGCUAGCAGAAAACAUGAAAUAACUAAGAUCAGAGCAGAAUUGAAGGAGAUACAGACACAAAAAGCCUUCCAAAAAAAAUCAGUGAAUCCAGGAGCUGGCUUUUUGGAAAAAUUAAGAAAACAGAUAGACUGCUAGCUAGACUAAUAAACAAGGAAAGAGAGAAGAGUCAAAUAGACACAAUAAAAAAUGAUAAAGGGGAUAUCAUCACUGACCCCACAGAAAUACAAAGUACCAUCAGAGAAUACUAUAAACACCUCUAUGCAAAGAAACUAGAGACUGUAGAAGAAAUGCAUAGAUUUUCUGGACACAUAGACCCUCCCAAGACUAAACCAGGAAGAAACUGAAUCCUUGAGUAGACCAAUAGCAAUUUCUGAAAUUCAGGCAGUAAUUGCUAGCCUACUAACCCAAAAAAGCUCAGGACCAUGAUUCACAGCUGAAUCCUAUCAAGGUACAAAGAGGAACCAGUACCAUUCCUUCUGAAACUAUUUAAAACAGUUGAAAGGAGGGACUCCUCCCUAACUCAUUUUAUGAAGCCAGCAUCAUCCUGAUACCAAAACCUGGCAGAGACAUAACAAAAAAAGAAAACUUCAGGCCAAUAUCCCUUAUGAACAUAAAUGCUAAAAUCCUCAAUAAACUACUGGCAAACUGAAUCCAGCAGUAUAUCAAAAAACAUAUCCACCAUGAUCAAGUCAGCUUCAUCCCUAGGAUGCAAGGCUGGUUCAACAUAUGCAAAUCAAUUAACGUCAUGCAUCACAUAAACAGAACCAAUGACAAAAACCACAUGAUUAUCUCAAUAGAUUCAGAAAAGGCCUUUGAUAAAAUUCAACAUCCUUUCAUGUUAAAUACGCUCAAUAAAGUAGGUAUUGAUAGAACAUAUCUCAAAAUAAUAAGAACUAUUUAUAACAAACCCACAGCCAGUAUCAUAUUGAAUUUGCAAAAGCUGGAAGAAUUCCCUUUGAAAACAGGUACAAUACAAGGAUGCCCACUCUCACCACUCCUAUUCAACAUAGUAUUGGAAGUUCUGGUCAGGGCAAUCAGGCAAGAGAAAGAAAUAAAGUGUAUUCAAAUGGGAAGAGAGGAAGUCAAAUUGUCUCUGUUUGCAGAUGACAAGAUUCUAUAUUUAUAAAACCCCAUCAUCUCAGCCCAAAAACUCCUUAUGCUGAUAAACAACUUCAGCAAAGUCUCAGGAUGCAAAGUCAAUGUAUAAAAAUCACAAGCAUUCCUAUAUACCAACAACAGACAAGCAGAGAGCCAAAUCAUGAAUGAACUCCCAUUCAUAAUUGCUACAAAGAGAAUAAAAUACCUAGGAAUACAGAUAGAAAGGGAUGUGAAGAACCUCUUCUAGAAGAACUACAAACCACUGCUCAAGGAAAUAAGAGAGGACACAAACAAAUGGAAAAACGUUCCAUACUCAUGAAUAGGAAGAAUCAAUAUUGAGAAAAUGGCCACAGUGCCCAAAGUAAUUUAUAGAUUCAAUGCUAUUCCCAUCAAACCAUCAUUGACGUUCUUCACAGAAUUAGAAAAAAAAAUAAUUUUAAUUUCAUAUGGAACCAAAAAGGAGCCUGUAUAGCCAACACAAUCAUAAGCAAAAAAAAAGCUGGAGGUAUCAUGCUACCUGACUUCAAACUAUACUACAAGGCUACAGUAACCAAAACUGCAUGGUACUUGUACAAAAACAGACAUAUAGACCAAUGGAACAAAACAGAGACCUCAGAAAUAACACCACACAACUACAACCAUCUGAUUUUUGACAAUCUGACAAAAACAAGCAAUGGGGAAAGAAUUUCCUAUUCAAUAAAUGGUGCUGGAAAAACUGGCUAGCCAUAGGCAGAAAACUGAAACCAGACCCCUUCCUUACACCUUAUACAAAAAAUAACACAAGAUGGAUUAAAGACUUAAAUGUAAAACCUCAAACCAUAAAAAUCCUAGAAGAAAACCUAGGCAAUACCAUUGAGAACAAAGGCAUGGGCAAAGACUUCAGGACAAAAAUGCCACAAGCAAGAGCAACAAAAGCCAAAAUUGAAAAUGGGAUCUAAUUAAACUGAAGAGCUUCUGCAUAGCAAAAGAAACUAUUAUAAGAGUGAACCGGUAUCCUACAGAAUGGGAGAAAAUUUUUGCAAUCUAUCCAUCUGACAAAGGUCUAAUAUCCAGAAUUUACAAGGAACUGAAACAAAUUUACAAGAAAAAAUAACCCCAUCAGAAAGUGGGUGAAGGAUAUGAACAGACACUUAUCAAAAGAAGACAUUUGUGCCACCAACAAACAUAUAAAAAAAAAUCUCGACAAAACUGAUUAUUAGAGAAACACAAAUCAAAACCACAAUGAGAUACCAUCUCAUGCCAGUCAGAAUGGCAAUUAUUGAAAAGUCAAGAAACAAUAGAUGCUGGCGAGGCUGUAGAGAAAUAGAAACGCUUUCACACUGUUGGUGGGAAUGUAAAUUAGUUCAACCAUUAUGGAAGACAGUGUGGCAAUUCCUCAAGGAUCUAGACCCAGAAAUACCUUUUAACCCAGCCAUCCUAUUACUGGGUAUAUACCCAAAGGAAUAUAAGUCAUUCUACUGUAAAGACACAUGCACACAUAUGUUUAUUGCAGCACUAUUUACAAUAGCAAAGACAUGGAACCAACCCAAAUGCCCAUCAAUGAUAGACUGGAUAAAGAAAAUGUGGUACAUAUACACCAUGAAAUAUUAUGCAGCCAUAAAAACAAAUGAGAUCAUUUCCUUUGCAGGGACAUGGAUGAAGCUGAAAGCCAUCAUCCUCAGCAAACUAACACAGGAACAGAAAACCAAACAUCACAUGUUCUUGCUCAUAAGGGAGAGUUGAACAACGAGAACACAUGGACACUGGCAGGGGAACAUCACAUACCAGGGCCUGUCAGGGGAUGGGGGGUGAGGGGAGGGAACAUAGAAGACUAGUAAAUACAUGCAGCAAACCACCAUGGCACACAUAUACCUAUGUGACCAGCCUGCACAUUCCACACGUGUUUCUGAGAACUUAAAGUAAAAUUUAAAAAAAGAAAAGAGGUUUAAUUGCCUCACAGUUUUGCAUGUCUUGGGAGGCCUCAGGAAACUUACGAUCAUGAGAGAAGCCAACCUGAUUCAGACUCUGGAAAUGUCUCUUGGUGGUCAGAAGAGAAUGUAGCCUAGUGAAAUGGAUUAGUGAAAUACACUGGGGUGGUUUUGAUAGACAGGAACCAAAGAUAUGAAGGACCUCAUAGACACAGGUUAAGAAGCUCUAAAAAUAUGAGUAAACCAGAUGGCUUUUAAAUUAAGGAGUUUCUUGGUCAGGUCACUGUGAAAAUCUCUCUGACAGUUCUGUGAAACAAUGAAUUGGAAACAAGAACCAAUCCAAGUAGGGGAAAAUAAGAACUUUAAGUAGGGCAGAAGAUAACAGAACUUGAACUCAAGCAGAUGGGAGUGGGAUAUACGUGUGAAUGUGAUUUCAGCAGUACAAUCAACAAAGCUUGGAAGAGUAAGGGGAAAGAAGUUGUGAGGAAAUAUAACCAGAAGACAAAAGGAGGAUGAUCUGAUGAUAAUAAACUGGGGUUGUAAUUUAGCAAGGCGUUUUGGUUGAGAUUAUUCUUAGCAUCUCUGUGUCAUUGGCUCUCCUCCUCUGAGAAUAGGCAGGACUCCUCUUGAAUGUGGAUUUUAUGACUUGCUUCAGGAGAGAAGGGCAAGGUGAAGGACAAAGUGACAUUCCCAGUUCUGCUGUUUUUUCAAAUGCCAGGUGCCAUAUUUUGGGGUUGCCUGUCCUGAAUACAAUCAGAAGUGUGAUAUGUUUGAGUGAGUGUGAGUACUGGGAUAAGAGAGUCUAAGACAGACUGGAUGAUCUAAGAUCAUGGUGGUAAGGGAAAACAAGAAGUAGAUUUGGGGAAAUACAAAAUAUUUGAAUAUACUGAUUUUGAAAUUGGCAGAAAAAAAUAUAUUACCAGUAUCCAGCAUAAUUGACACAAAGUGGGUACUACAUGUCCAGAUCAAACAAACAGAAUUUCU